rnacentral:rRNA from 1 species
UAACACAUGCAAGUCGAGCGGUAGCACAGGGAGCUUGCUCCUGGGUGACGAGCGGCGGACGGGUGAAUAAUGUCUGGGAAACUGCCUGAUGGAGGGGGAUAACUACUGGAAACGGUAGCUAAUACCGCAUAACGUCGCAAGACCAAAGAGGGGGACCUUCGGGCCUCUUGCCAUCAGAUGUGCCCAGAUGGGAUUAGCUAGUAGGUGGGGUAACGGCUCACCUAGGCGACGAUCCCUAGCUGGUCUGAGAGGAUGACCAGCCACACUGGAACUGAGACACGGUCCAGACUCCUACGGGAGGCAGCAGUGGGGAAUAUUGCACAAUGG